GAUCAUGGCUCAGGAUGAAUGCUGGCGGCGUGCCUAAUACAUGCAAGUCGAACGCGAGCAGCAAUGCUCGAGUGGCGAACGGGUGAGUAAUACAUAAGUAACCUGCCCUAGACAGGGGGAUAACUGCUGGAAACGGCAGCUAAGACCGCAUAGGUAUGGACACUGCAUGGUGACCAUAUUAAAAAGUGCCAAGGCACUGGUAGAGUAUGGACUUAUGGCG
rnacentral:rRNA from 1 species